UACGUAGGGUGCAAGCGUUGUCCGGAUUUAUUGGGCGUAAAGAGCUCGUAGGCGGUUUGUCGCGUCUGCUGUGAAAACGCGAGGCUCAACCUCGCGCCUGCAGUGGGUACGGGCAGACUAGAGUGCGGUAGGGGAGAUUGGAAUUCCUGGUGUAGCGGUGGAAUGCGCAGAGUAUCAGGAGGAACACCGAUGGCGAACGGCAGGCCCC
rnacentral:rRNA from 1 species